CGAGGCUCCUGGGCUUCGCGAGGACGCAUUUGCAGCCCCCUCUGCCUCUCGUGUCUGGCGACCGAGGCGAGGGAACCGCCUCGCUGGGGCUCGUAGUGGUGUAUUUCAUAUUGGGGCUCUUUUUCGGGGUUUGUAAUUUGGCCGUGGGUAGGUAAUUGGCUGGAGCAGGGCGGCAGGGCGCGGCAGCCAAUCAGCGCGCGGCUUCUAUAGGGCUUGAGUUAUUAGACGCUGAUCUCAAAACAUCCUUCAUCAGACACCAAGGAGAGGCCAACAGAUGAGGGGAGCCAUUUUUCUGCAAUGGAAUUAAAUGGCCAAGUGGGUUUUUCCUUUGUUGCAAAUGGGGAAUGUUUUUCCUUUGACUCCACCAUCCAGUUCAGGACGCCUCAGUGUUGUGUUUAACAUUUGUCAACAAGCUAAAGGACUCACUAUUGGAAGAAUGAAGAAGACUUUUUAAAAAGAUCUGGAUUUUUCCUUAUGACUUGGAAUCCAUCUUUGUCUUGUAUAACUAGGUCAUAGCACACCAUUAAUGUCAGCAGUUAACAAUUUUGAAUUCCAAAAAACCUAAGUAAAUGACAUAUUUAAUUUUUUUCCUCUUUUUUCUUGGGUGGGUGGGGGGAGCUUGGAGCUAUCUUAAUCUGUAUUCUCUUAACUGAACAAUAAAUUUUUAAAUAUAUAUAGUUUCCUCUAUUAAACACUUAAACCUGGCCAUUUUAUUAACUCCUUCUCUCUUUUUUUAACAAGGUAAUGUUUUAAAUGUGUAGUUUUAGGACUAGCGAAAUGGCAGCAACAAAAAAUUGUAAGCAGUUGUUACUCUUUAAGUUUUUAAAAACCUUUUACAUUGUAAGUACCCAAUCCAUUGUGUCCUUACGCAGUGCAGUUUUCAUGUUAAUGUUGCUGAGAUGUCCUUAAUUUUCUGAACCUUCAUCUGCAUGUAUGUCUUUGUUGCUCUUGUCUAUUAUAAGCCAGUUAAAAUGCUCUUAGACGAUUUUGCUUUUAAAAAGCUAAGGCUUUAGCUUUAAGCUUUUGAAAAUGUUUACAGCAAUAAAUGCUAGUCAUCUUUCUUCCUAGUAACAUGUACACUUUCUUUGAAAAUUGAUCAGUUGAAAAACAGCUCUGUUUUUCUCGUCUUGGUAGAGGGGUGGGUGAGGGAAAGGAAGACCUCUUUGUGUAGAGACUGAAGCCGUCACAGGAAACUAGAUUAAAAGUGGAAAACAAGUCCUAGCUGGUUCGAGCCAAACACCAACGUUAACUCGCGGGUAUUUUCUAUGGUGGUUGGGAUGGCCGUGUGUCUUUUUGCCUUUUGUUUGACUUGACUGUGUGUUUUCGCCUUUUGUCUCUUAAUGACGGUCACACCAUUGCUAUAUCGAGAGCAGUAAACAGCCCUCAGCGAAGUCGCCUUUUGCCAACCCAACCCUGGAAAGUUUGCAGAAGUGGAAGGAACAGAAAAUGCCAUGAGAGUGUAACUUACAAAAAGCUUGAUCUUCCAGACUCCAUGGCACCGGGGUGAGCGGGCUCUUGGCCAGAGAAGGGGCAACAGGCCAUACCCCCAGAGUGGACCGUCCUCUGGACAGCAGGAGCAGGCCUAGUUUGACUCUUGAGAGUCCUCCCACUAAGGUAGGUGUAAGCCCUUUUGCAGCCUGGGAGGGAGAUUUAUUUGGGGGGCUUUGGCCCGGAGCCCCGGUUGGGCGUACACCUCAAACCCGCUAGGCUAGUUCUGCGGCCCCUCCCCCACACAGAUGUGUGGGACUGUGUGUGAAACCGGCUGCCUGCUGGGUCCAUCCAUCCCGCCUGUCAGCUUCUGUUGUCAGAGUUUGGGGCGUGGAAUUCUCUGCUGUAUUUAGUAGCAUAGGACAGGCUGCACUGGCAAGUGUUUCCUAGUGGUGUGUUUUGUGGUGGGGGGAGGGCCCUGGAUGCCUAGAAAGAUACUGUUUGCUGCCCAGAAGCAGGGCCUUCCCUUCUUGCCCCCAGUUUGGGCACGCGGAGUGACUGCUUGAGCUGCUAGGGAGGUGAAACAGGACCUGUCAUCUGAGCAAGCUUCCUCUGUGAGGAACAGGUUUCUUGACUCUUCUCCCACUUCCUGGGAAUUCCCACGAUUCCCUCCCCACCCCCACACCAAAACGACCCGUUUCUAGAGCCGUACAUAUCAGCUAGCCAUUUACCUGCUGUACCUUGCAUGUGCUGCAGUCUCUGAGCCCACCUGCACAAGUGGGUCUAGGUCAGUGAUUCUCAAACUGGAGCAUGGAGCGGAAUCACAUUUUAGAACUGAUUCAGUAGGUGGGGCCUGAGAACUUGCAUUUCUGACAUGCUCCCAGGUGGUGCUGCUGCUGCUGUCAUCUGGGGACACAUUUUAAGAACCUUUGGGCUAGCUAACACCUGGGGUGUUGUGAGGAUGCAAGCUCUGUGCUUGGCAGAGUCGCUGGCUGCUUAAUAAUGGCAACUCUCUCUUAAUUCUAACGCAAGCUGUCUGCGCAGUUUCCCAGUGUCUUUUGUCUCCAGGAAGCUCCACAGCUGGAGAUGGUAUGGCCCUUGAUCUCUGACCCUUUCCCCCCUGUGGUCUCUAGUAUGUAAUGACUUUGAUGAACCAUUUGGGGUUUGAACUGACUCUCCUUUGGGCUGCAGAUCAGCCCUGCCCACUUUUACCUGAGAUUUGGGGGAGUCUGUAAGGGCUUGACCCUGAGAUUUUGUUUGGAGCCAUUGUGGUGCUUAAUCAAGGGAGGCUCUUAAGUCAGGUGGCUGUGGGCUUGAAUCUCCACUGUGCUGGUGACCUUGGGCGGGUCUCCUGUGUAAAAUGAUAAUGAUGCAUGCUGAAAAGGGUGGUGGGAGGAUUAUUUGCGAUUAAAGCGGCUGGCCUCUCAUUUAGGCUUCACACUAGUCGGCCUCCAUUCCGAUGUGGCUGCAGGGCAUGGAGGCUGGGCUGGCUGGCUGCGAGCUCCUCCCCACAGCCCACCCCAGAGCACGUGGCAAAGCCUCAGGGCAGAGGGGAAGACUGGCUCUCCUUGGGAAGGGAGCCAGCGUCAUUCUUCCUCUUGUGUAGUUUGAGUUCUGAUCAGGGCCUGCCCCCAGCUCCACAGGCUGUUCCAUGAGCUGUCUUAAUUGGGGGUCACUCACCCUCCCGGAGAGUAUAAGUGACUCGCCCAAGGUCACGAGGUCACCACCAGCAGCCAGGAGAGGGUUCCAGGUGUCUUGACUUCCAGCCCAGCGCCUAUGUCCAUGGCAUCCCCUAGCCCCAGCUGUCUGGGUUAUUUUGGGCUCCCUCCCAUGCCAGCUGUCUGCUGGCAUCACUGCCGGGAGCUGGGAAAGCUGUCUGGUUGAAAGUAACCUGGAGGUGCUCUUGGCUCUUCUGGCUGCCAUGCCUUCGCCUCUCCAGUCCCAGAUACGCUGGGUUUGGUCCAUCUUGUCCUUUGCCAGGAGGAACGGCAUGCACCCCACCACACCUGUCACCAGUCUCCCUUCCCCCUACCCAGGGUGAGGGGGAAGGCUCCUGGUAUAAUUUGAUGAGCCUCUUCCCUCCUUCCGCACUCAACCCCAGACCUAAGGUCUAAGUUCCGCUCUGCCUUUGAUGAAACCAUAAAACUCUCUUGAUCCUCAAUGACCUUUGUGCCGCCUGAGGGUGUCUUGUGUCCCCUUUGGAUAGAGUCCUUGAGGCUCCUGGGGCAGGGGUCUUUACCUGCCUUGGGAGGCAGAUUGUUAAAUGAUUUAAACCCACCCUCCCCUUUCAGCAGCUGCCUGGAGGGCUACAGCCAGUUCUUCCAUUCCCUCCCUGGGACCAAUUAGGGAGCAAUUAGGUGCUAAACUGGUCUGCUUGUGAUUCUUGGAAGGGAGAGGUGUCCCCAUGACCCAGAAGGAUUGUCAUCAGCUACUUCCUCCCCUCUUGAAUUCUCUUUCACCUCCUCUUUCUAAUUUUGUGUCCCCCCCCCCACCCAAUUACCUCCUGGGGACAGGGAGGGACUGGAGCAGCCUGUGUGUCCUCAGGCUGUUGUUCCUUCUUGCCAAGAGGGUAGCCCUGCCCACAGGUCACCCAGGGAGCCAGGGGCGGGGCCUAUCCUGGCACCCUGCCGGUGGGGCUGCCUAGAGGGCCACGCCAGCGGAAGGGCGUCCCCAGGCAGGAAGGCCGCUUGACCUGCCUUACUACUGGAUGCCAUGGUCCGGCCUCUUCCGGCCCAUCCACCGAGAGCCCCGUAUGCAGUGCGACCUUUUGGACCCUCUGGGUGGAAACACAGCUUUUGCCUGGACUGUAGAGAGCGGCACCCUGUCAUUUCAAGGCCAAGGCCACCUCAGUCAGUGCUGUCUCCAGCUGGCAGUAACCUUGGCAGUCCCUGCCCUUCUGGGAGCAGUGGUCUCUCCAUGUGAACCAGGAGAAGGAAGUUAGCCAAUAACCUUUUGAGCUCUUUCUGAUCUAUCUGGCUUUGUGAGGGGAGCUUUUUGUAUGGCAGUGAUUCCCCAGACCACCUCCUAUCUCUGGGACCCCAGAGGUAUACUAAGAGUAGCUUAGUAUAUGAAGGCUCCGCUUCUUCAGUGUCACAUGGAGUAGAUGACCGUCAGGUGUGUGGUGACCUCGCAGGAUGCGCGGAGGCACUAGGGAAGUGGCAUUGUCAUGAACUUCCCCAUCCUAAGCGGCACUGGCCAGACUUUGCCCUGACAAGACAGAAGUGGAUUUGGCCCCUUCUUUCCUGGGCUCAGUUGGCCUUGUUAUGGCACGGGCCAAAUGAGUUCACCCCGCAAAUGCCACCUGGCCAGCUCCCCUAGGCUUCUGUGUCCCAACAGCUCUAUGGAAGAACCAGUUUAAAGCAUCUUUCUUGCCUUUCUAAAUCUCCAGGAAUUCCUGGUGAAUAGGAGAACUGGGUCCUCAGAACGUCUCACAGGUAAAGGAGUAGGGCUCUCAGGCGUGGGGGUGUGCCCAGUUCCUCAGCUGGCUUGCCUGGCCUGGCUGCCUCUGAGGAAGAUUCCAGCAGCUGGCCUAGCUGCUGGCUAUUUUUAGCUACAGAUCCAGCCCCUGCACCACUGGAGCCGGGUCCAAAUCAAACAUGCUCCAGACCGGCUGGGGCUGGGGUUCUGCCAGACUUUUGACCAG